rnacentral:rRNA from 1 species
GACGAACGCUGGCGGCGUGCUUAACACAUGCAAUUCGAACGGAAAGGCCCUGCUUUUGUGGGUUGCUCGAGUGGCGAACGGGUGAUUAACACGUGAUUAACCUGCCCUUGACUUUGGGAUAACUUCAGGAAACUGGGGCUAAUACCGGAUAGGAGCUCCUGCUGCAUGGUGGGGGUUGGAAAGUUUCGGCGGUUGGGGAUGGACUCGCGGCUUAUCAGCUUGUUGGUGGGGUAGUGGCUUACCAAGGCUUUGACGGGUAGCCGGCCUGAGAGGGUGACCGGCCACAUUGGGACUGAGAUACGGCCCAGACUCCUACGGGAGGCAGCAGUGGGGAAUAUUGCACAAUGGGCGGAAGCCUGAUGCAGCAACGCCGCGUGCGGGAUGACGGCCUUCGGGUUGUAAACCGCUUUCGCCUGUGACGAAGCGUGAGUGACGGUAAUGGGUAAAGAAGCACCGGCUAACUACGUG